UACAGAGGUCUCAAGCGUUGUUCGGAUUCCUUGGGCGUAAAGGGUGCGUAGGGGGCGCGGUAAGUCGGGUGUGAAAUCUUGGAGCUUAACUCCGAAACUGCAUUCGAUACUGCCGUGCUUGAGGACUGGAGAGGAGACUGGAAUUUACGGUGUAGCGGUGAAAUGCGUAGAUAUCGUAAGGAAGACCAGUGGCGAAGGCGGGUCUCUGGACAGUUCCUGACGCUGAGGCACGAAGGCCAGGGGAGCAAACGGG
rnacentral:rRNA from 1 species